rnacentral:lncRNA from 1 species
GCUCUGGGGGGUGGGAGUGCCCUAUGGGGUGCCCUAUGGGGGCUCUGGGGGGUGGGGAUGCCCUAUAGGGUGCCCUAUGGGGGCUCUGGGGGGUGGCAUUGCUCUAUGGGGUGCUCUAUGGGGUGCCCUAUGGGGGCUCUGGGGGGUGGCAGUGCUCUUUGGGGUGCCCUAUGGGGUGCCCUAUGGGGGCUCUGGGGGGUGGGGGCGCCCUAUAGGGUGCUCUAUGGGGUGCCCUAUGGGGACUCGGGGGUGGGGUGCCCUAUAGGGGGCUCUGGGGGGUGGCAAUGCUCUUUGGGGUGUGCUAUGGGGUGCCCUAUGGGGGCUCCGGGGGGUGGGGUGCCCUAUAGGGUGCCCUAUGGGGGCUCUGGGGGGUGGGGGUGCUCUAUGGGGUGCCCUAUGGGGUGCCUUAUGGGGGCUCUGGGGGGUGGGGGUGCUCUAUGGGGCGCCCUAUGGGGGCUCUGUGGGGUGGGGGUGUGCUAUGG